rnacentral:rRNA from 1 species
UACGUAGGGGGCAAGCGUUGUCCGGAAUCAUUGGGCGUAAAGCGCGUGUAGGCGGUCCGGUAAGUCCGCUGUGAAAGUCGGGGGGCUCAACCCUCGGAUGCCGGUGGAUACUGUCGGGCUUGAGUACGGAAGAGGCGAGUGGAACUCCUGGUGUAGCGGUGGAAUGCGCAGAUAUCAGGAAGAACACCAACGGCGAAGGCAGCUCGCUGGGACGGUACUGACGCUGAGACGCGAAAGCGUGGGGAGCGAACAGG